rnacentral:rRNA from 1 species
CAAUAGCGUAUAUUAAAGUUGUUGCAGUUAAAAAGCUCGUAGUUGGAUUUCGGGGCAGCCUGGCUGGUCCGCCGCAAGGCGAGUACUGGUCAGCCGCCCUUCCUCUCGAAAGCCCCGACUGCUCUUUACUGUAGUGGUCGGGUAGUUCGGGACGUUUACUUUGAAAAAAUUAGAGUGUUCAAGGCAGGCCUACGCCUGAAUACAUUAGCAUGGAAUAAUGGAAGAGGACCUCGGUCCUAUUUUGUUGGUUUCCAGGGCCGAAGUAAUGAUUAAGAGGGACCGUUGGGGGCAUUCGUAUUUAAUUGUCAGAGGUGAAAUUCUCGGAUUUAUGAAAGACGAACAACUGCGAAAGCAUUUGCCAAGGAUGUUUUCAUUAA